UUAAAAAAAAGUCAAGCGUUACUCCCGUCUGGAGGUGGCUCUUGUUACUGAGACAACAGAUGUGCCAACAAAAACAAUAGUAAUAGUAGCAAUGUUCAUCCGCUGGCAAUGCAUUCAUAACAAAGAAACAAAUACAAAAUGCUGUGUGGGUAACAGAACAUAAACAACUUCAACAAAUCAACUAAGAACAACCAAUGAGGAACAUGAACACGAAAAAAUAGAACAUUCCCGAUACUUCUGCUGGAAAAAAGACAUGACAUCCUGAAAUGAACAAGAUCUCGUUGAUGUACAUUCAGAUAAGAGACAGUCCAUUGUUUUAUUUUAAAGAAAUACAACUAUAUUUCUCAUUUGAAUAUGUUAAGAGUACCAGAGCAACACAUAAAAUUUAUUUUUAAAUGUAUAUCUAGUAAUAACUUCUGGUGGAAAAGGGACAAUAUAUAACUAAUGUACCUGUAUAAGGGGAAAACUCUUACAUUAUUUCUACAACUUAAUUUGAAAUGAAUUUUAUUUAUUUUAUUUUUAAUUUGAAGUGUAUGAGAACUUAGUUGAUUGCAUAGCUCAUGUCACUUAAAAACUCAGAAUUAAAGUCAAAGAAUUAAACCUUAAGUUCGUUUUGAGACACUCUGCUACUUUAGCAUACAUUUAAAUGAAUAUGUUACUAUUUAACAAUGGAGCCAUACUGCAGUAGUGCAGUUAUUUGUAAAGCGCCGAUAUUUAUAUAUGUAUCAAAUAUAAAGACAGAUCAAAU